CGAUUACUAGCAUUCAGCAGGGAGUGGGAUAACAUACGACCUCAUUUCUUCAGCCGCUGUCAAGAAAAAGCAGACGUUGAGACAGAUCCUGGCAUGAAACACAGGCUCCUCCGUCUGGCAAGGAAAUUAAAAGAGGUGAGACGGUUUCUCUCCUUAUUGGGCAUCUGAUUUUGAAAAGAACCUCCUGUUUUUUAAACUGCAAUGGGUGACAUUUUUGUGACCUCUUGUGCUCCAACUUCAUGGUCUACUCCAACAAUUUCUUAGGUUGAUGACGACGUGCAAAGGCACAACAGACUUCUCGAAGUAAUUAGCGCUGCGGCGUCUGCAGACAUCGGCGAAAUCGUGGCCAGGCGACGGAAAGAUUUCACAAGGGAGUUCUUCGAGCAUCUUCAUGUUGUUGCAGAGUCUUAUCAUGAAGACCCUGCAAAGCAAAAUGGUACGACUAUUUGAUUAAUAAUUUUACAUUCUGAAUUUCUUCAGCACGAGCGAAUAAAAAAAUCCGCGUUAUUUUUGAAGGAACCCACCGUCUGUUUUACUCAUCGAGCCGAUCUAACCAUUCUUGGUGUUGUAUGCUGUCUGCUCUCCCAGCUCUCGCGGCCCUGGGAAACGCGUGCCUGGCCGCCGUGCAAGUAUACGACAGCACAUCUGAAAGCAUUGAGGCCCUGAAUGCCGCA
rnacentral:lncRNA from 1 species